AAAUUAGCUUUCAAGAGUUUGUUGAUUUUGAGUCAGCGCAUUGUGCAACGCAAGUCUAUCAUAAAAAUCAAGAGUCGAUUAGUUCUGGUUUCACUUCCGAGUGUGGCGGUUAAAGUAAUUGUGAAUUUGUUGAAAUAGUUUGCGGAUUUCAAUAAAAAUGGCUUCGUUUGAUACAACCUCAUCAAAAACCGGUAAAAAGCAUAAAAACAGAUACGUACGUGGUAGAGGAUCCUUACCCUCGAAGAAGAAGAAAAAGAAGAACAUUUUUUCUUCUGGAUCCUCCCGCUCAGAAACUUUGGUUUCGACCCUGGAUGAAAAUACCGAAAAAAUACAAAACCGUGAAUUUGAGCCCAAUUCUAUGCUACACAACGAGGAAAUCGUAUCAAAUCAAUAUAUUUCCUCAAGGGAAAUGCCAGCUGAAAGUCAUGUUUCUGUUUGCGAUGCACACACUUCAAACUUCAACGAACAAAGUGUUCCACCCGUUCAAGCAACUUUUGCGCAAUUAGGUAAAUUCUUCAGCCACAAUCGUAGGCAGUACAUUAAGAAAAGAGUUCAAACCAAAAAGAAAAUCGACCAGUUGAACUUGUCUGCUCGGUUUACAUUUGUCAACAUGGAGAUCAAACUACACAACGAAGGCUGUAUUAUGACAACGGACAACAAUUUCAUUGCCAUAGUGAAACUAGAACAUCCCGAACAACUUGACGAGUGCAGCGAUUUUGAACAAGCAAAAAAAGUGCUCAUCAACCAACUGAGAAUCACGAAAAUCAUCCGAGAUGAUUUGAUGGAGCUUCGGAACAACUUACGGACAAGGAUAGUUCCAGCCAUUGCAAAUUCCAUACGAAAUUCUGCAUUCAAUCAAACACAUGCCAACAAUUACAUACAACUAGUAAAGAUAACAAAUAUGUUGAAAAAUAGUAGAAAGCUAAACUAUCGCUCUUUAUGUAGAGAAAUUUGUAUGAAUAAGACGAUUUCCGACAACAUGAAAACAUUUAGCAAAGAACUUUUACAGCUGGAAGAGACAACAAUUAAACGAGAAAAGUGGUUCACCAAUUUCGGGAUUCGAAUAGAAGACAAAGCAUCAGAUUUAAGUAAAAUAAUUGACGAAUUGUUACCACAAAGCUUUGAGCGUUUCCGAAACACAAUGGUGGAAAGUGCCCCAGAAUGUUUGCAAAACUUCUUAAGAAGCGCAUGUGAAAAACGCAUUGCACUAAUCAGCGGUGAAGAUAUAAAGCUAUUCAUGAAUAUGUGUACUUUUUUGAAUAAGGACAUUUUUGAAAAACCUUUGAAGGAUUUGACUAUUUGUUGGAUAAAUUUGGUGAAUUCGAUAAAGAUUAACGAAACUAAAGAAGUUGUUCGAUUCACGCAACCAAUUUAUUUUUUCUUAUGUAAAAGCUUAGAAGAAGUUAUCAUUGAAAUAUCUAACAAGACUGAUAUUGAGAAAAGUAAACUGCUAAUAAGUGACAACAAUGGUUGGUAUGCUAACAAAGCUAUCACUUGGAAACAAGACAACUCUUUGAGUAGAUGCCUAGAACAUGAAUACAAUUUCAUUUUCAAGCUGCUCAAACAUUUUGAAUUGACAAACCGCGCAAUUCGCCCAUUCAACUACAGCGUAGUCCUGCUAAAUAGACAAAAAACAUCAGCGUAUGGAAACUUUAUUGAGAGCGCCAAGAGAAUGUUCUUCAACAAGUCCAAGAAUCAUCUUGAGGUCUCCGAUGAUGUUUACAUCUGGUAUUGUAUGCUGGACGAAGUUUUAUCAAAUGUAUUGCCCUUUGCGUCAUUAAAACACGGAGGCGAGCUUGACCUGUUUAGAAACAUUUUGCAAAACUAUACAAAACUUGUUCGAGAAGCAGGCCAUGAUCAGCUGGAAACGGUUCGCGUGAUUAGCCAUUCUUUAGGACGAUUCAUCGUCCAAGCAAUUCAGCUUUUAAAACAAGAUGGCAACUCAGACAUUGAGCAACGAGUGCUCCGCGGCCAACUAGAUGUCAACAGCCGGGUUGGGUUUAAAUCUUCAAAUCACUUCCGAGAUUUUAUUAACGUUUUCAGUGACUAUUGGAGGUGUAGGAAUGAGGUUAUAGCUCUGCUGCCGUCAAAGAUGAAUUUGCCUGAAAUGGAUAUAAUUUGUAACAAAUUGGUGGAAAUAAUAGCAGUAGCUCUUGGGAAGUGUGUUUAAUGACUUUAUUAUUGAUUCGGGAGAGGUUCAAUUUGAUUGGUUCAUAAAAAAAGAAACUGUUCAAAAGAAUAACGUUGACUCGUCCGUUUUAAGCAUGAUCGAUAAUAAGUGGAAAAACUCGGACAAUGCAACUUAUCGUGUAAUCAAAAUUGAAGAAUUUCUCAAUUUUUUCGAUUCUCCGCCAAACCACUACGUUAUUGAUAUCAUUGACAAAUUGCUUUCUACUAUAAUGAUUCAGAUGAAUAGAAAAGAUUGGGGCCCAAAUCAAGAUCUCUCAGAAACAGACCAAGUGGCAACAACCAGUAGUCUAAUCUCUGCCAUAAGAAGCACAUUGAUUUACCUUGAUGAACAACCCGACUACGUUUCAUUUGAUCGUUUCUUAGAAGAAAGAGUUAAUCCAUUCGUAAGCGUGGUGGAAAAUAGUACAAAUUACAGUGAGUUUUUCAGUCGUAUCAGUUUGAUCAAAGAAUCUUUUUGGUACAUUCGAAAGCAAAAUGAGAUGAGUAUCGAUUAUGCGUUGGAAAUGUUCGACAAUCUGAAUGAAAAUGUUGAUAAAAACCUUUUGCAAAAAUCUUACGAUAUAUAUUGUGAUCGUUUCGACAAAAUUAUGAAGAUAACAAUGGGAAAGCAACACACCGAAAAAAUUUCAUUCAUUAUUCAAAAAAAUCUAAAAUCUGUACAGCAAAUUCACUUUAAGCAUUGGAGUCAACGGUUUAAACAACAUACUUUGCCAAUUAUUUUGGCAGAGCUUGCUGCCAUUUGGUCUAUCCAGGUGUCUAAAGAUGUGUCCAGUACAGUAGGCUUCUUUAAGCCCCACUGUAUUCAAGUGCUGUGUGUACUGAGAAUGUUAAGUGCCGAUCAGAUUAAAGAAGGAGUAGAAAAACAUUUUGCACAAGUUUUGACGGGACAAGGCAAAUCACUUGUUUUAGCACUAACAGCAACAAUUCUAGCUCUUACCGGUCAUAAAGUUGACUUGGUAUGUUACAAUACAUAUUUAGUCCAGAAAGAUGAGACGGAAUUUGAUCAUUUUUUCAAAGCUUUAAAAGUGAAUGAAAAUAUUGAAUACAAAACAUUUGACAGUAUGGCAAAUGCAUUGAUAACAUCAGACAUCAAUGGCGAGCGCGUUGGCCUUAGAGAUUUGGUCAAUAAUAUGAUAUUAGAUAAACCACAAUCCCCUUUUAUGACAAAAGAUAAUUGUACAGAAGACUCAGUUUUGUUAAUCGACGAAGCAGAUGUAUUUUUUACAGAAGCUUUUUAUGGAAAAAGUUAUAUGCCUGCUGUUUGUCCAGUUAUUCCUGGAUUAGCCACGAUUCAAGAGUACAUUUGGAACUUGAUAAAUAAUAAUGUUUCUUUAGCUGAUGUCCAAAGACGUACUCAAGAAUUCAUUGAAACAGAUGCUUUUGAGUAUCGUGCAGAGUUCAACCAAUUUAGAAUUGACAAAAUGAAGGAACUUCUAGAAACGAUUGAUGGUAAUUUAACAAGAAAAACGUAUACAAAUAAAACACUGCUAAAUAAGCACUUACAAAGAAUGAUAACAUGUGCUUGGGAAGUCAAACAUUCAGCAUCAGUCUGGUCAAUGUUUAAGCUGAAUGACAAUAAAACAAUAUGUAUGAUGGAUGAAACGGGCGAGUUUAAGCAUAACUAUAAAUGGGAUUAUUAUUUAGUUUUUAACUACAUGAGAUUAAAGGAAACCAAUUUUGUUGCCGAAAUUGAAGACGUGCAAAAUUUUGGGUAUUUAAACAUAGAAUGCGGUGCAAUUUCAUACGCACUGUUGCCUUUGAACUAUCCUCUGAUAUUGGGAGUUUCUGGUACACUAACUGAUCUUAAUUUUCAUGAAAAAUUUGCAAUCGAAAAUCUCUAUAAAAUUAAACAAUCAUCUGUUAUGCCUUCAUUUUUCGGUUGUUCAAACUUGUGUUUCAACGAAGAAGAGGAUUUCCAUUGCUCAUACGCUGUAGAUGAAUGGCUGAACCAAGUUUACCGACAUACGUACACAAAAAUAGCAAAAAAUCGUGCCGUUAUCAUCUUCUUUGAAGAUGAUGAAAAGUUGGAAAAGUUUCGUAAAGAAUAUUCAGCGCAAUUUGAUCGCGUGAAUGUCUUAACCGUCAAUACUAAAGGGACCGAGCGUGAUCAGUUUAUUAACGAAGCAGGCGUUGCCAAGACGGUCACAUUGGCUACUCGUCGAAUGGGCCGUGGAGUGGACUUUAAGUCCAGCGUAACGGUGGAGAAAAAUGGCGGCGUACACGUCAUUCAAACGUUUCUCUCAUCGGAUGUAAAAGAGGAGAUUCAAAUUAAAGGCCGAACCGCCAGAAAAGAUAACAAGGGAAGUUACGAAUUGAUUGUAUGCGAAUGUGAUUUACCGGUGAUGGAGGCUGAAACACCACUGUUUUUAAACUACACUUAUAAAAUCCUCGACAAUGAUAGGAAAAAUAAGUCUUUAAAAACAAAUGAAAAAUUAUCUGCUGAAAUUAAACAGGCACAGAAAGAUCAUGAGCUAACAAUGGAAUAUAUGAAAUCUUUUAGCAAGGAAAAGUGAGUUUUUAACUGAAAAUUAAGUUGUUUUUAACUAUAAUUGAAUGCCUGAGCUUUAAACAAAAAAAAAAGUCACAAAUAUUUAUUUUAAAAAAUUAUAUUUAAAAAAAAUAUGAUGACCACAAAAUUGUAAAUAAAAUGUAAACGCAAAGAACCUUGCUCAUUACUCAUUUGUUAUCCGAAAAGUCUACAACAACCAUUUGACCCAGCCACUAUCUACAUGAUUAAUUAUUAUUAUGAAGUCGCAUUAAAUGAAUCGGGCCACAUGCGGGAAAUCGGGUAGUCAGAACUGACACAGAACAUCAAAAUGAAUGCAACGACUUCCAAAUUAUAAGCUUUUAGCAUUCGAUUCUUUUAUCGGCUUGGCAGUCGUUGAAGUUUAUAGAAUCCAACUUCAUUUGUUUCUAUCUGAAUAAAGUUGAUGGAUAGAUAACUUUCUGAAGGUAAAACAUGAUCUUUUUUUAAAUCGCCGUAUGGGACAUAAUGAGCACAAACACAGAUAAACAAAGUGCUGUCGAAGCAACAAACUGAAAUAUCUCGCGAGAAGUAACACUAUCCGAACUUUUUCCAUGUGUUGGUGAGCAUUCACUUUUUCAUUCGCGUCUUAUUUGCAUAUCAAUUUUGCUUGACAAGCAUUUUGAUGCUGCGGUUUCAAGCUAGCGUUCAUGCAUUUAGGUCUCAUUUCUUGUUUUACCAGUGACUAGCAAGGAUGUAUGGUGUGAUAAUUUUGAAUUGUUGAGAAUAACUUAUCGACAGUGCUUGUGGAAUUUUCCAAAAAAAUACUCAAAAUGACCACAGUUAAUUCUUUAAACAAUGGAACUGAUACACUCUGCCUCGGCAGUGAUUCAAAUCAAGAUGAAGAGACAAAUUCAACUUCAAAAUUAAACUCGUGGAUCAUACCAGUGAAAAAGUGUGAUAAAAACGGCGAAGCGCACAGUUCCAAGCCUGCCAUAAAAUGUGAUUCAUCAAUCGAACCUCGCCUGGCCCAGAUCGGAGCAUUAUACAACCCUAAUCGCACGCAGUACAUCAAGAAAAAGGCUUCAUCCGAAAAGAAAAUCGACCAGCUCAACUAUUCCGCGCGAUUUACCUUUGUCAAACUGGAAAUAAAGCUGCACAGUGAGGGCAGCAUCAUGACAACGGAAAAUAACUUUAUAGCUGCAGUGAAAUUUGAACACCCCGAGCAGCUUGACGAUUGUGGCAAUUUUGCGCAAGCGAAGGAAGUGCUGAUUGAGCAGUUACGAAUCACGUGCAUCUAUCGCGAUGGUUUGCGGGAGGCGCGGGACAGUCUACGGAAGAGGUUGAUUCCAGCCAUCGAAAGUGCCAUUGAAAAAUCUGCUUUCAAUGAUAAACAUGCCAACAAUUACAUACAACUGGUGCGGAUAGCGAGCAUGCUGAACAAUAGUGGCCGGAUGAGCUAUCGAAAUCUGUGCAGGGAAAUUAGUACCAACAACAUUGUGACCGAAGAGUUAAAGUCUUUUUCAAAGGAGCUAUUUCAACUAGAGGAGACAGUACUGAAAAGAGAUAAAUGGUUCGCAGCAUUUAAAAUUCAAGGAGAAGACCAAAAAUUAGGCUUGAAUGAUGAGUUGGAGAAACUACUGCAGCAGACAUAUGUUUUUUUCACGAAUACUUUGAUAGAUGGUUCUCCAGAGUCUUUACAAACUGUUUUACGGUCAAUGUGUAAAGAGCGCAUGAUGUUGGUUAGCAGUGAAGAUAUUAAACUUUUCAAAGACAUUGCUUCCUUUUUAAAUAAGGAAAUAUUUCAAAAACCAUUGCAUGAUUUUAUGACUUGUUGGAAUCAUUUGAUGGAAGGUAUAAAGAUUGAAGAAACCCGAGGGGUAGUGUGUUUUACGAAACCUAUAUUUUUCUUUCUUUGCAAAAGUUUGGAAGAAGUUAUAAUUAGUAUUGCUAAUAAGGCUGGUAUUGAGUUCAACAAACUUAUUACUAGUGACGAAAACGGAUGGUAUCCACUAAGAUCUAUAAAAUGGAAAGAUGAACAGCCGUUAAAUCGGUGUCUAGAAUUUGAGUAUUAUUUUAUCUUCAAAUUGAUCAAGCAUUUCAAACUAACGCAUGGUAACAUCAAUCCAUUCAAUUACAGUGUGUCGUUACUGAAUAGAUCAAAAACACCAACUUAUCGAGGCAUUCUGGAAAGUGCGAAAAAAAUGAUAACUUUCAGCAAGCCCAAAAAUCAUCUCGCAGUUUCAAACGAAAUUUUCAUCUGGUACUGCAUGCUGGACGACGUCCUAUCGAAUGUGCUGCCCUAUGCCGCGAUCAAACACGGUGGAGAGCUGGAUCUGUUUGGGGACAUUUUGCAGAACUACACCAAGUUAGUUCGCGAAGCAGGCCAUGCUCAGCUGGAGACGGUGCGCGUGAUCAGCCAUUCUCUAGGUCGCUUUAUCGUCCAAGCAAUCCAGCUGCUGAAGCAGGACUGCAACGCAACCGUUGAGAAACGCGUACUCCAUGGCCAACUGGAUGUCGUCGGUCGGGUUGGGUUUGAAUCGUCCAAUUACUUUCGGGAUUUGAUCGACGUUUUCAGUGGUUAUUGGAGGUGUAGGAAUGAGAUUAUUACUGAGCUGCCGGGAAAAUUGAUUUGCCCGAAAUGAAAAUAAUUUGUGACAAACUGUUGGAAAUCGUUUUGGUUGCCCUUGGAAAGGGUGUUGGUGCUGGUGAAAUAGUAAAUUUUUGCCGCACAUAUAACGACUUUAUCAUCGAUUUGGGUGAAGUUCGGUUCGAUUGGUUUGUUAAAGUUGCGAUCACUGAAACUGAAUGUCUUGAUACCUCUAUUUUGCAAGUGGUUGAAAACAAAUGGAGUGACUCUGACAACGCAACAUACCGCGUAAUCAAACUGAACGAUUUUCUUGAUGCUCAUGAUCCACCUCCAAAGCACUACACUAUUGACGUAAUUAACACAUUGCUAUCCAACAUUCUAAUUCAGUUGGGUAAAAAUGAAUGGAGUCCAAACAACAUUAUUUCUGCAAAGGAUCAAAUGUCAACAUCUAGUAGUCUGAUCUCUGCUAUCAGAAGCUCACUCAUUUAUCUCGCUGAACAGCCGGAUUAUGUUUCCUUUGAUCGGUUUUACGAAGAAAGAGUUAAUCCAUUUGUUAGCGUGGUGGGAAAUAGCUCCAGUAAUAGCGAUUUUACAACUCGAAUCAGUUUAAUAAAAGAAUCGUUUUGGUACAUUCGAAAACAAAAUGAGAUGAGUACUGAUCAUGCGUUGGAACUAUUCGAAAAACUUAAUGAAAAUGAUGAUAGUAAUCUAUUACGGAAAGCUUACAAUUUAUAUUGCGAACAUUUUGAUAAAACCAUGGAAGGUUCGAUGGGAAAAGAGCAUGUAGAUAGAGUUCUUUUUGUGGCAAAACAAGUGAAAGAAUCCGUAAAGCAAAUUCAUUUUAAGUUUUGGAAUUCACAGUUUAAGCAACUUUCUCUACCAAUUAUUUUGGCAAAAGUAGCUGCCGUUUGGACUAUCCAAGUAUCUGAAGAUGUUUCCAGUACAGUGGGAUACUUUAAACCGCACUGUAUUCAAGUACUCUGUGUAUUGAGAAUGUUAAGCGCUGAUACGGUUGAAGAGGGGGUGGGAAAACAUUUUGCGCAAAUUUUAACUGGACAAGGCAAAUCACUCGUUCUUGCACUAACAGCUGCGAUUCUGGCGCUAACUGGACAUUUAAUUGAUAUUGUUUGCUACAACUGUUAUUUAGUUAAGAGAGAUCUGUUGGAUUUUGUGACUUUUUUUAAGGUUUUAGAAAUCAAAGAUAAUAUUGAAUACAACACAUUUGAAAAAAUGGCAAAUAAAUUAAUUACUUUAAGAACAAAUGACAAUACUGGCAAACGUGUCGGUAUAAGAGAGUUAAUAGUGAAUCAACUGUUAAAUAAAGUUCAACCAUCCCUCGCAGUAGCUGAUGCCACCAGAGACAAAUCAAUUUUGUUGAUAGAUGAAGCAGAUGUGUUUUUUACAAAAGAUUUUUACGGUAAAUGCUAUUUUCCCGCUGUUCGACCAACGGUCCCAGAAUUAUACUUGAUACAGGAACAAGUUUGGAAAAUAGUUAAUGAAUGUAUGUAUGAACAUGAAUUGGAACACUGCAAAGAAAGAAUGCUUGCUUCAGACGCAUUCAAGAAUCUCAAAGAAUUUCACACAUUUAUCAGAGAAUCUCCAUACGAACUAUUAAAAGAAUGUAAUGAUGGUUUCCAACGGACGUUGUAUUCAAAUAAAAUUCUUUUUGAUGAACAUUUACAGCAAAUGGUAAAAUGUGCAUGGGAAACUAAACAAUAUCAAGACUUAAAUAAAUCCAAAUUCAGACUAAGUGAAAAAGAAACCAUUCAUAUCAUGAAUGGUACUGGGAAGUAUUCAAACAGAACAAGUUAUGGUUAUUAUAAUAUCUUCUAUUACUUUCAACUAAAGCGAACUGAUUUUGUCCCUAAAAUAGAUGACGAAGACAAUUAUGGCUAUUUUUCAAUCAGCUGUGGAGCCAUUUCUUAUGCUCUUUUGCCUCUAAACUAUCCUUUGAUAUUAGGAGUGACAGGCACAUUAAACGAUCUUAAUACUCACGAAAGAGAUGCCAUUGAAAAUCUGUACAAAAUAAAACAGCAAUCUUUUAUGCCGUCUUAUUUUGGUUGCUCAAACUUGCGUUUUGAUGAAGAAGAGGAUUUUCAUUAUAAUAUCGCUGUAGAGUCAUGGAUGAACGAAAUCUACCGACAUAC